rnacentral:rRNA from 1 species
CCCUUAGAGUUUGAUCCUGGCUCAGAUUGAACGCUGGCGGAAUGCUUUACACAUGCAAGUCGAACGGCAGCACGGGUGCUUGCACCUGGUGGCGAGUGGCGAACGGGUGAGUAAUACAUCGGAACGUACCCAGUUAUGGGGGAUAACUAACCGAAAGGUUAGCUAAUACCGCAUACGCCCUGAGGGGGAAAGCGGGGGACCGUAAGGCCUCGCGUAAUUGGAGCGGCCGAUGUCUGAUUAGCUAGUUGGUGAGGUAAAGGCUCACCAAGGCGACGAUCAGUAGCAGGUCUGAGAGGAUGAUCUGCCACACUGGAACUGAGACACGGUCCAGACUCCUACGGGAGGCAGCAGUGGGGAAUUUUGGACAAUGGGGGAAACCCUGAUCCAGCCAUUCCGCGUGAGUGAAGAAGGCCUUCGGGUUGUAAAGCUCUUUCGGCAGGGAAGAAACGCUCUGGGUUAAUAACCCGGGGUAAUGACGGUACCUGAAGAAGAAGCACCGGCUAACUACGUGCCAGCAGCCGCGGUAAUACGUAGGGUGCGAGCGUUAAUCGGAAUUACUGGGCGUAAAGCGUGCGCAGGCGGUUUUGUAAGACAGGUGUGAAAUCCCCGGGCUUAACCUGGGAACUGCGCUUGUGACUGCAAGACUCGAGUACGGCAG